rnacentral:rRNA from 1 species
CCCUUAGAUGUUCUGGGCCGCACGCGCGCUACACUGAUGAAUUCAACGAGCUCCUAACCUAGGCCGAAGGGUCCGGGUAAUCUUGUGAACGUUCGUCGUGAUGGGGAUAGAUUAUUGCAAUUGUUAAUCUUCAACGAGGAAUUCCUAGUAAACGCAAGUCAUCAGCUUGCAUUGAUUACGUCCCUGCCCUUUGUACACACCGCCCGUCGCACCUACCGAUUGAAUGGUCCGGUGAAUUCUUCGGACUGCGGCUUUGACUCGAUUUCGGUCGAGGCGUUGCUGCGGGAAGUUGAUUAAACCUUACCAUUUAGAGGAAGGUGAAGUCGUAACA